AUGUGUAACUCACCUUGCUUGUCAAGGUUCCUUCUCCCCCCAAAAAUCCAUGUUUGUGAAUGGUUCCUACAGCACACAGAGAACUCUGCUCGCUCCAGGCAGGUGCUGACACACCAGGUCACUGAAAUGGAUGAUGAAGCAUCAACAGUCAUGAAAAAAUCUUUGAUAUGAUAAGACAUGUCUUGAAUCAGCGAUUACUCUGCCAGUCAUCCUGGGUAUAGUUCCAGUCAGAGGAAUUAGCAGCAGGAAGGAAGCUGGGGGCCAGGAAAGAUUCCCUGAUUUGUUGACCUCUGUCAGCAGGCUCAGUGCUGGUGGAUACAGUCAACAUCUGGAGGAACAACUACACCCAUACAAAUCAUAUCAAAGGAGAGAGAGCACGCAGGCAACAACAUUAAAGCCAGCUGCAUAUGAUCUUUCUCCGUCUCAGCCGUGACAAGCGUGGACAGCAGGUCACAGUGAGUGAGGAGAAUCCAAACAAGAGCACCAACUGACUCACAGUCAAACUGACAUGGCAAAGGAAGUGAAGGAAGACCUUAGUUGAAACAUGCAACAGCUAAAAAGGGGGCUGGUCUUAAAAGAAACGUUCUCUCCCCCUCACAUUCUCUCUCUCUUUCUCUUUCUUUCUCUCUGGCAUACAUGAACACAGACACUUGUGCGUAUUCUUCUGGUUUGCAGACUAUAAGUCCCUUAAAACCUGUUCUUGAUGACUGGCAGAUGAGGAGGAGCUGCACCGAUCAUUACAUUAGAUCUGAGAUUAGAAAGCCUCAACAGCUGUGGCCGCAAGACUUCUUUACAUUUCAAAGUUCACAUUUUGUCAAUGAUCGACAUACUUAUACAUAUAUACAUACAAACACAGAUGGGUGAAAUAAACUGAAUCUUCCUGAUGUCAUUAUGAAGACUCUUCUCUUCUGUGUACAAUGAUAGCAUGAUGGCAGCAAGAGAAAAGUAGUUAACUUUACACCGGCCCCCUUCUCAAAUUUUUCCUCAAAAUGUGUUAUCUACAUCCAAUACACAGUGUGUAAGCAACAAAAUGACUACAAAUGUUCCCCUUGUCGUUAGUUUGGGAACAGAAAAACAUUUGCAAGAUGGCAUAAAAGCUGUCAAUAGCUUGCAAUGUGAACAAUAUAAUAUAGUAAAUUAUAAGUGCCAUUAAUUUCCAGGUGUUCCUGUGUUCUAAGUAAGCACACCUUUUAAACCUUAACAAAUAAAAGGGUAAAACAUUGCCAUUUUGCUGAAAGAACCAGUUUUGAAAAGAUGCGUCUCAGUAACAAUUCCCAAACCUCGCUGAGCCAACUGAAAUAAAGACAAGCUUUGGUAUUACUCAAGUUUGUUAUUUAGAUUUAUUACUCCCAUGAUUAUCUAUUUUACAACCCCCACUUAUGCAGCCAGGGAAGUGAGAUGUUUCUUAUGGUUUAUGUAGCAAUGAUGGCAUCCCAAUUCCUAGAGUCUGUCAGUGAGAUUGCAGCAUGCUUUGACACGCUUCAGCGGCUCACCUGCGAAUCCUCCCCUGCAGGGUCUGCAGAAGGUUUAUCAGGACAGAACAAAUGCAGGGGAGAGGUGAGAGGGACGCUGUAUAAGCCUCAAAUAAAACCUUUACUCGUUUGUUGUAAUUUUCAAAGCCAAUGCUUAUGAUGGCACAUGUCCUGAUUGUUACUACACAUACAGAAACACAAACUCAUUGUCCCCUGAACACAUGUGAAACAGCUGUACAUUAACCAUUACACCUCUAUACACAGGUAAGUUAUUCAUUCAACAGUGUUUUGACAGUUGGAAAUCCUGCUCUUUAUCCGGCUGCUCCUCUGAUACAUUACACUACAUUGUCCGACUAUUCAAACAGAGCUUUCCGUAAGCUAAACUUGUUUGUUGUAGGAUUACCUGCUUCAGCUGAAGAGUCCUUUGGCUCCUUUGUGUAUGUCUGUGUCUGAGUGUGGGCAGUACACAAGCAGUCUUUCUUUCUUUCUCUGCCAUCCCACCUCUUCUACAUUUUACUCUGACCCUCUCACAUGGUCUUCAUCACAAUCUUGUGUUUCUCUCUGACAGGGUCAAGUGCCUACUUUUCCAGGUCCUGAUAAUGUCAGUUAAAUGUAAAUGCUGACAUACUGACACACAUCACUGAAUCAACAGAUCAAACGGUCACAACACCCUGAGCCAACUUAACCUUAAAAACUCUGCUCUGGUCUUUGUAUUGAAAAUGGAAUCAGUCCGAGCCAUUGGCUGAAAUAAAAACAUGAACUUCUCUCAGCACAAAGGACC